UCCAUGAUGAGGGUCUGUUCGUGCUAUUCAUUCACAAAGCAGGAAUUUAGAUUAAACUUGCGUCUUCCUCGACACAUUUACCGUAUUCCCCCUGUAUCACUUUUACCGUUUAUACUCGAGCGCCCUUAGCACUCGUUAGAUAAAAUGCAUAAAGGGAAAAAUAUGCAUAAAUUAGCUGCAUCAUUGAAUAAGCUGCAGGGUUGAAAGCUCGUGACAAAAGUAGCGGCUUAUAAUCCGGAAAUAAUGGUACUUGCAGAAUUACUACAUUGACUAGCAUCAAGACACUGUCCUGGAAUCACAAUUUUAACUAAAAAGCUAGGUUUAAUUUUUACCUUUAACAAUAAUUUUAUGCUAAACCUGAAGUUGCACUGUAAUCCAGUAUUUACCUUCUGAAUGACUGUGGAUGUGUAUUCAAGUAACUUCUUGCGUUAACAUUUCUUUGGAUUUUUUAUUCAAAAGACAAAAACAAGUCACAAAUGCCUAUCUUGUCUCCAAGCAUAUUUGCAAUGCGUGCAUCUACUUUAAUAAGCUCCCCCAUCCAAACACCUGCAGCUUCAACCAACGCCUAUUAGCUCAUCAUGCUUUUAAUUACUCUGUUAAUUGCAUACAGGCGGCAUGAAGGGCAGCCUGGGAAUAGGGCAAGGAGGGCCUCGUGAGAACUCCGUCUGAUAAACCUGACAAACAAGAAAGGAGGAUUUUCCUCCAACAGCAGCAGAGGAGAAGGAAAACAGGGGAUGGCUCCAAACACAACUGCUCUGUGUGGAUUCACCUUUUACUCUGGUCAGCUAGACCCAGCAGCCGAGGCUGAGACAUGAAUGACGAGAAAGACUGGGGAAACAGGAGACAUAGAAGAAGCUGUUCGUCUGUGAAUGACUGCACCACAUCUGGAUUAGCUCAUAUUGGUCAGGGACGAAUUGGGGGGUUGGAGUGGGCCGUGCUGGAGGGGACGGCUGAGAGAAGCAAGCGUGGGAAUAUCUCACUGUUAAGUUUAGGGCAUGCAGGCUUAUUGUGUUUGUGGGAGAGUUAGGCUGAAGUCUCCACAGAGUGACCUGUCUGUCACAGAGCUCUGCCAUAACACAAACAUCCUCUAAGCUGUACAAGCUGGACACGCACACAUGCAUGCAGAUACAGAGCAGCUGAUGUGAGAAUCAGCUUGAGAAACUCUGUUUGGCUUUUUUGAGCUAUGUGACAUUUAACUUUCACUCUUAGCGUGCUUCUUUAUUGAUCUAGCUGCUGUGUGGCUCUUGCCUUGCAGCAGAUGUCCUCCCACCAUGUCUUCCAGGAGCAGUGUUUGAGGAGGUGUCUCCAGGAAACGGUGGCCGGCAGCUCGCUUCCUGUGUGACAGAGGGGAGGGGGUGGCAAGAGAGACCGACAGGCAGAGGAAGGAAGGCUGGAGCCAAGAUUAAGGUCUCCACAACUAACUGGUAACACAACGGUACUCAGUGGUUCAGCUUCCCAUUCGGAGAGACGGAACCAUCUGUGUGGCACGGGAUCUGUUUCCAGAAGAUAACGACACCUUUAAUUUAGCAGAAAAAAAAAA